GUAGGGUCCUCCACGGGCUGCAGGUGGGCAUCUGCUUCACUGGUGACCUCCAUGGGUGGCAGGGAGGACAGCCUGCCUUCUCACCACAAGCUUCAGGGGGGGCCACUGCUCUGCUCCAUCA